AUACAUGCAAGUCGAGCGAACAGAUAAGGAGCUUGCUCCUUUGACGUUAGCGGCGGACGGGUGAGUAACACGUGGGUAACCUACCUAUAAGACUGGGAUAACUUCGGGAAACCGGAGCUAAUACCGGAUAACAUUUGGAACCGCAUGGUUCUAAAGUGAAAGAUGGUUUUGCUAUCACUUAUAGAUGGACCCGCGCCGUAUUAGCUAGUUGGUAAGGUAACGGCUUACCAAGGCGACGAUACGUAGCCGACCUGAGAGGGUGAUCGGCCACACUGGAACUGAGACACGGUCCAGACUCCUACGGGAGGCAGCAGUAGGGAAUCUUCCGCAAUGGGCGAAAGCCUGACGGAGCAACGCCGCGUGAGUGAUGAAGGGUUUCGGCUCGUAAAACUCUGUUAUUAGGGAAGAACAAACGUGUAAGUAACUGUGCACGUCUUGACGGUACCUAAUCAGAAAGCCACGGCUAACUACGUGCCAGCAGCCGCGGUAAUACGUAGGUGGCAAGCGUUAUCCGGGAAUUAUUGGGCGUAAAGCGCGCGUAGGCGGUUUCUUAAGUCUGAUGUGAAAGCCCACGGCUCAACCGUGGAGGGUCAUUGGAAACUGGGAAACUUGAGUGCAGAAGAGGAAAGUGGAAUUCCAUGUGUAGCGGUGAAAUGCGCAGAGAUAUGGAGGAACACCAGUGGCGAAGGCGACUUUCUGGUCUGUAACUGACGCUGAUGUGCGAAAGCGUGGGGAUCAAACAGGAUUAGAUACCCUGGUAGUCCACGCCGUAAACGAUGAGUGCUAAGUGUUAGGGGGUUUCCGCCCCUUAGUGCUGCAGCUAACGCAUUAAGCACUCCGCCUGGGGAGUACGACCGCAAGGUUGAAACUCAAAGGAAUUGACGGGGACCCGCACAAGCGGUGGAGCAUGUGGUUUAAUUCGAAGCAACGCGAAGAACCUUACCAAAUCUUGACAUCCUUUGAAAACUCUAGAGAUAGAGCCUUCCCCUUCGGGGGACAAAGUGACAGGUGGUGCAUGGUUGUCGUCAGCUCGUGUCGUGAGAUGUUGGGUUAAGUCCCGCAACGAGCGCAACCCUUAAGCUUAGUUGCCAUCAUUAAGUUGGGCACUCUAGGUUGACUGCCGGUGACAAACCGGAGGAAGGUGGGGAUGACGUCAAAUCAUCAUGCCCCUUAUGAUUUGGGCUACACACGUGCUACAAUGGACAAUACAAAGGGCAGCUAAACCGCGAGGUCAUGCAAAUCCCAUAAAGUUGUUCUCAGUUCGGAUUGUAGUCUGCAACUCGACUACAUGAAGCUGGAAUCGCUAGUAAUCGUAGAUCAGCAUGCUACGGUGAAUACGUUCCCGGGUCUUGUACACACCGCCCGUCACACCACGAGAGUUUGUAACACCCGAAGCCGGUGGAGUAACCAUUUAUGGAGCUAGCCGUCGAAGUG
rnacentral:rRNA from 1 species